AUUGAACGCUGGUGGCAGGCUUAACACAUGCAAGUCGAACGGUAACAGGAAUUAGCUUGCUAAUUUGCUGACGAGUGGCGGACGGGUGAGUAAUGCUUGGGAAUCUGGCUUAUGGAGGGGGAUAACUACGGGAAACUGUAGCUAAUACCGCGUAAAAUCUUCGGAUUAAAGGGUGGGACUUUCGAGCCACCUGCCAUAAGAUGAGCCCAAGUGGGAUUAGGUAGUUGGUUAGGUAAAGGCUGACCAAGCCGACGAUCUCUAGCUGGUCUGAGAGGAUGACCAGCCACACUGGAACUGAGACACGGUCCAGACUCCUACGGGAGGCAGCAGUGGGGAAUAUUGCACAAUGGGGGGAAACCUGAUGCAGCCAUGCCGCGUGAAUGAAGAAGGCCUUCGGGUUGUAAAGUUCUUUCGGUGACGAGGAAGGUCGAUAGGUUAAUAGCCUAUCAAAUUGACGUUAAUCACAGAAGAAGCACCGGCUAACUCCGUG
rnacentral:rRNA from 1 species